AACGAACGCUGGCGGCAGGCUUAACACAUGCAAGUCGAGCGAGACCUUCGGGUCUAGCGGCGGACGGGUGAGUAACGCGUGGGAACGUGCCCUUCUCUACGGAAUAGCCCCGGGAAACUGGGAGUAAUACCGUAUACGCCCUUUGGGGGAAAGAUUUAUCGGAGAAGGAUCGGCCCGCGUUGGAUUAGGUAGUUGGUGGGGUAAUGGCCCACCAAGCCGACGAUCCAUAGCUGGUUUGAGAGGAUGAUCAGCCACACUGGGACUGAGACACGGCCCAGACUCCUACGGGAGGCAGCAGUGAGGAAUCUUAGGCAAUGGGGGCAACCCUGAUCGAGCCAUGCCGCGUGAGUGAUGAAGGCCUUAGGGUUGUAAAGCUCUUUCAGCUGGGAAGAUAAUGACGGUACCAGCAGAAGAAGCCCCGGCUAACUCCGUG
rnacentral:rRNA from 1 species